rnacentral:tRNA from 1 species
GCUCUCAUAGUUCAACGGAUAGAAUGAAAGUUUCCUAAACUUCAGAUCUGGGUUCAAAUCCUGGUGGGAGCGCCA